GCAAUUGGAUAAGCUUUCAAUGUCCUUUUUUAAAUCAAAAAAUUUCUAAUUUUGCCACAUAGAAAGCACUUUGAACGAGGCUUCUGAUGGCAUAAAUUUUGAGGUGUGACUAUAUCCCAAUGAGAAGGAAUUCUAGUGUGAAGUCGCAACUCCUUGGGUUACUUCAUCCCGUGCAUGCCAAGAAAUAAGGGACAUUUGACACUCCAUCUAGCCAUGGCAAACUUUAAAGUUUGUACCAUCUAGAUAAAGGGCUGAGAGGGCUCCACAUGGGUCUGAGUUUUAGAU
rnacentral:lncRNA from 1 species